AGGGAGAUGGAAGAAUGUUCUGAUCCUGUUCUGUAAGUCAGCAACAGGUCUACACUGUUGGUUAAGGGCUUGUCAGUCAGCAUUUCACUGUGAGGUCUACACUGUUGGUUAAGGGCUUGUCAGUCAGCAUUUCACUGUGAGGUCUACACUGUUGGUUAAGGGCUUGUAAGUCAGCAUUUCACUGUAAGGUCUACACUGUUGGUUAAGGGCUUGUAAGUUAAGCAUUUCACUGUGAGGUCUACACUGUUGGUUAAGGACUUGUCAGUAAGCAUUUCACUGUGAGGUCUACACUGUUGGUUAAGGGCUUGUAAGUCAGCAUUUCACUGUGAGGUCUACACUGUUGGUUAAGGGCUUGUCAGUAAACAUUUCACUGUGAGGUCUACACUGUUGGUUAAGGGCUUGUCAGUCAGCAUUUCACUGUGAGGUCUACACUGUUGGUUAAGGGCUUGUCAGUAAACAUUUCACUGUGAGGUCUACACUGUUGGUUAAGGGCUUGUCAGUAAAGCAUUUCACUGUGAGGUCUACACUGUUGGUUAAGGGCUUGUCAGUAAAGCAUUUCACUGUAAGGUCUACACUGUUGGUUAAGGGCUUGUCAGUAAGCAUUUCACUGUGAGGUCUACACUGUUGGUUAAGGGCUUGUCAGUAAACAUUUCACUGUAAGGUCUACACUGUUGGUUAAGGGCUUGUCAGUCAGCAUUUCACUGUAAGGUCUACACUGUUGGUUAAGGGCUUGUAAGUCAGCAUUUCACUGUGAGGUCUACACUGUUGGUUAAGGGCUUGUAAGUGAGCAUUUCACUGUGAGGUCUACACUGUUGGUUAAGGGCUUGUCAGUAAACAUUUCACUGUGAGGUCUACACUGUUGGUUAAGGGCUUGUCAGUAAACAUUUCACUGUGAGGUCUACACUGUUGGUUAAGGGCUUGUCAGUAAACAUUUCACUGUGAGGUCUACACUGUUGGUUAAGGGCUUGUCAGUAAAGCAUUUCACUGUGAGGUCUACACUGUUGGUUAAGGGCUUGUAAGUAAAGCAUUUCACCGUAAAGUCUACACUUGUUGUAUUCGGCGCGUGUGACAAAUACUGUUUUUGAUUUGAUUUGAUAACUCUUGGUGUUUUCUCAAAAGUGGUUACAUUCUGUGGAUUCUUCAAAUACCUUGAGUUGAUUUCUGACGUGAUGUUUUCUAUUUUUCUGUAGUGCAUUUCUGUGUUGUUUUAGUGACUCACCGUAGUGAAGGCGUAGGCUGAGGUUUUCUGAGGUUUUCUGAGU